CCUACGGGAGGCAGCAGUGGGGAAUAUUGGACAAUGGGCGAAAGCCUGAUCCAGCAAUGCCGCGUGAGUGAUGAAGGCCUUAGGGUUGUAAAGCUCUUUUACCAGGGAUGAUAAUGACAGUACCUGGAGAAUAAGCUCCGGCUAACUCCGUGCCAGCAGCCGCGGUAAUACGGAGGGAGCUAGCGUUGUUCGGAAUUACUGGGCGUAAAGCGUACGUAGGCGGUUAUUCAAGUCAGAGGUGAAAGCCUGGAGCUCAACUCCAGAACUGCCUUUGAAACUAGAUAGCUAGAAUCUUGGAGAGGUGAGUGGAAUUCCGAGUGUAGAGGUGAAAUUCGUAGAUAUUCGGAAGAACACCAGUGGCGAAGGCGACUCACUGGACAAGUAUUGACGCUGAGGUACGAAAGCGUGGGGAGCAAACAGGAUUAGAUACCCUGGUAGUCCACGCCGUAAACGAUGAUAACUAGCUGUUCGGGCUCUACGAGCUUGAGUGGCGCAGCUAACGCAUUAAGUUAUCCGCCUGGGGAGUACGGUCGCAAGNUUAAAACUCAAAGGAAUUGACGGCUGAGACGNGCGAGACGACGACGAGGGAGAG
rnacentral:rRNA from 1 species